CUUUUCUUCAACCUCCACAACAGGGUCGACUUUCUCCAGAGCUGUUAAGCUGAUUCCUGUUAUCAUAGUCAUUCUCUCAGGGCUGGCACUGAUGAUAAUCUGUAUUCAGAGGAACACAAGACCUGAAGGUUUGCAGACCAGGGGAAGUUCAGACAGGACAAACAUGGAGCUUGCUCAAUAUGAGAACUGUCCUCCAGCUUCUGCAUCUGAAUCCACCUACGAGAGCCUCAAUCCAGCCAGCAUGGAUCAGAACCAGACCUACGCUACACUCGAACACACACAACACAAAUGAUGCUGUUUGUGUCUCACUGAGCACUGCAACUCUGACAUAUACUCAUUUAGGUAGAUUAACAUUAUCCCAACAAUGGACUAAAACUUAACUCACAACUCAGUAUGGGGGAGGGGGAUGGAUGUUGAGCUUAAAGUUGCAUGAAUGAUUCAUGUGAUGACAUACCCAAUCAAAAGUGCUCUGAUGCUAGCAAGGCUAUUUUUCUAAUCUGAAUCUUGUUUAUUUAUUAAUAUGCAUAUUUACCUGUAUGUUUAUGUUACUUUGUAGUUUGGCAGAUUGAAGCCCUUUAAGGUGAAGUUUGUGUUAUUUGCAACCACAAGCUGGUCAGUAUCAUAUAAAAUAUAGGAACAUUAGAGAUAGGAACUUUAUUGUAAAUAUGAUUUCAAUUUAUUUUUCUGCAUUCAGUGUUCUUAUCAACGUUCUGUCUGUCUAAUAACAAGGGUUUUCUGAAAGUUACAGAGAACCUUUAAUGAAAUGCUAGCAAAUAGAAAAACACAAGCAAAUGAAGAAAAAUAUGACUGCAACAUUUAGAAAAGAGAUCUCAAGUAGCCACUGUACAUUUAGAGUAGAGUUUCCUUUGACACAUCAUCUAUGUUGUCUUUUUUUAUUAUAAUAGUUCAGAAAACAUGACGCUGCUGUUAAGCAAAUGUAAAUAUUUGGUAAAAUGCUGAUCCCCACACAAGAACUAGUUGGUGUGGUUCAACUCGUUUUGUCCAUUACAAUUACUGUGGAUAUUCACAGUGCUGCUAGGCUUACAGUUUUAUCUUUUAUCCAAAGCGACUUACAUUUGAGGAAAAAAAUACAAGCAUUAAUAGAGCAUCAAAUACAGAUCUACAACACAUACUAGCAAGAGCAGCAAUACGUACUGGUUGGUGCAAGUUCAUACAGCAGGCUCUGCAGCCUCGGUCAUUUUAGGGAGGAGAUCUUAAUUACUUAAAGGGCCAGUUUCUGAGAUGUAGCCCAUCUGUAGGCUAUAGGCCAAAAUGUUUUCCCAUAUUUAGAUUGACUAUUUUACGUGUCCAAAAAAAGUCUGUGGUUAUAAAAUGACAAACAAAUAAACCUUGAUACCAUGAAAUACUAUGAA